UACGUAGGAGACGAGCGUUGUCCGGAGUUACUGGGCGUAAAGGGUGCGCAGGUGGCGGCGCGCGUGGGGGGAUGAAUCGCCCGGCUUAACUGGGCGGGGCCUUCCAGACGGCGUGGCUUGAGCAGCGGAGGGGGACGUGGAAUUCCGGGUGGAGCGGUGAAAUGCGUAGAGAUCCGGAGGAACACCGGUGGUGUAGGACGGGCUUUCUGGACCGUAACUGACGCUGAGACACGAAAGCGUGGGUAGCAAACAGG
rnacentral:rRNA from 1 species